rnacentral:rRNA from 1 species
GACGAACGCUGGCGGCGUGCUUAACACAUGCAAGUCGAACGGUGAACGAGGGAGCUUGCUCCCUCCGGAUCAGUGGCGAACGGGUGAGUAACACGUGAGCAAUCUGCCCCGAACUCUGGGAUAAGCGUUGGAAACGACGUCUAAUACCGGAUACGACGCGGGAGGGCAUCCUCUCCGCGUGGAAAGAACUUCGGUUCGGGAUGAGCUCGCGGCCUAUCAGCUUGUUGGUUAGGUAACGGCUCACCAAGGCGACGACGGGUAGCCGGCCUGAGAGGGUGACCGGCCACACUGGGACUGAGACACGGCCCAGACUCCUACGGGAGGCAGCAGUGGGGAAUAUUGCACAAUGGGCGCAAGCCUGAUGCAGCAACGCCGCGUGAGGGACGACGGCCUUCGGGUUGUAAACCUCUUUUAGCAGGGAAGAAGCGAAAGUGACGGUACCUGCAGAAAAAGCACCGGCUAACUACGUG